GACGAACGCUGGCGGCGUGCUUAACACAUGCAAGUCGAACGAUGAAGCCGGAGCUUGCUCUGGUGAAUUAGUGGCGAACGGGUGAGUAACACGUGAGUAACCUGCCCUUGACUCUGGGAUAACUGCUAGAAAUGGUAGCUAAUACCGGAUACGACCCUCGGAGGCAUCUCCAGGGGGUGGAAAGAAUUUCGGUCAAGGAUGGACCCGCGGCCUAUCAGCUAGUUGGGGAGGUAAUGGCUCACCAAGGCGACGACGGGUAGCCGGCCUGAGAGGGUGACCGGCCAGACUGGGACUGAGACACGGCCCAGACUCCUACGGGAGGCAGCAGUGGGGAAUAUUGCACAAUGGGCGCAAGCCUGAUGCAGCAACGCCGCGUGAGGGAUGACGGCCUUCGGGUUGUAAACCUCUUUUAGUAGGGAAGAAGCGAAAGUGACGGUACCUGCAGAAAAAGCACCGGCUAACUACGUGCCAGCCGCCGCCGUAA
rnacentral:rRNA from 1 species